GGGUGAGUAACACGUGGAUAACCUACCUAUAAGACUGGGAUAACUUCGGGAAACCGAGCUAAUACCGGAUAAUAUAUUGAACCGCAUGGUUCAAUAGUGAAAGACGGUUUUGCUGUCACUUAUAGAUGGAUCCGCGCCGCAUUAGCUAGUUGGUAAGGUAACGGCUUACCAAGGCAACGAUGCGUAGCCGACCUGAGAGGGUGAUCGGCCACACUGGAACUGAGACACGGUCCAG
rnacentral:rRNA from 1 species